rnacentral:lncRNA from 1 species
GCCCAUCUGAGCUUGAUCAUUCGACCUCGCCUCCUAGUAAUAACUUUUUGAAGCUGGAUCAUUUUGUUUUGCAGUAACCGGGAAACUGUGGCCAAAGCUGUACCAAAUCAAGCUAAAACAAGCAUCAGCAAAGAGCGGAAAAUAUAUCGAGCAACAAUGCUUGGUAUGAAAAAAUUAAGCAUGGUAAUGGUUAGAAAGGUUAAAAAGGCUAAUGUACCAUCAAUUCUUAACAUUAGCGUUUAGCAAACUUCAAUGAUGGAAGAUGAGAAUCAAAACCUCGUACCUUGAAAAUCCAAAAUCGCGGCAAAAGGCAAUUACAAUUCCCCUUAGUUAACAAAAGUCUCUCCCAAUAUCAAGGACUUCUGAGAUUGGAUCGGUACGUGAAUAGCUUGAAACGAAAUCGAAAUCGAAAAUCGACGACGUCUCUGCAACAGCCAUGAGAGGACGGGAUCCAGACGAACUGCGCGUUCGUUGGUUGCUGUUUUUUACGAUCGGCAAUGGAAUAUUGGAAUUGGUAAUUUCGAAAUUACGAUAUUACCCAUCGGUUAACACCAGAGGAGAUCGGUCCCUCAUGGUGACAGAGUGGGAAAUCUCCAUCCAAUUACUCUUUUUUUUUUCUUUCUAUUAAUCUCAUUUAAUCCACAUUCAAUUUACUUUAAGCAUCAAAGUUAUUUCAUCCUUGAUGUCUUCUUGACUACAUUCACGUUUGUAACAAGUAACCACCUAUCUUAAUUACAUAAAUUAAAACCCAUG